rnacentral:rRNA from 1 species
UGGGGAAUAUUGGCACAAUGGGCGAAAGCCUGAUGCAGCAACGCCGCGUGCGGGAUGACGGCCUUCGGGUUGUAAACCGCUUUUCAGCAGGGACGAAGGGUUUUUCCUGACGGUACCUGCAGAAGAAGCACCGGCUAACUACGUGCCAGCAGCCGCGGUGAUACGUAGGGUGCGAGCGUUGUCCGGAAUUAUUGGGCGUAAAGAGCUUGUAGGCGGUCCGUUGCGUCGGAAGUGAAAACUCAGGGCUUAACCCUGAGCCUGCUUUCGAUACGGGCGGACUUGAGGGAUGUAGGGGAGAACGGAAUUCCUGGUGGAGCGGUGGAAUGCGCAGAUAUCAGGAGGAACACCAGUGGCGAAGGCGGUUCUCUGGACAUUUCCUGACGCUGAGAAGCGAAAGCGUGGGGAGCAAACAGGCUUANAUACCCUGGUAGUCCACGCCGUAAACGGUGGGCACUAGGUGUGGGACCCAUUCCACGGGUUCCGUGCCGUAGCUAACGCAUUAAGUGCCCCGCCUGGGG